rnacentral:ncRNA from 2 species
GUCAAACGACAGGGGAGCGCACCAGCGCUGAGAGUGCGGGAAACCGCUGACCCUCACACCUGAUCCGGUUCGCACCGGCGUAGGGAGUCGAGUCUCAGGUGAA